UACGUAGGGGGCAAGCGUUGUCCGGAUUUAUUGGGCGUAAAGAGCUCGUAGGCGGUUCCGUAAGUCGUGAAGUCAAAUCUCUGGGCUCAACCCAGAAUCGCUUCCGAUACUGCGGUGACUGGAGUCCGGUAGGGGAGUGUGGAAUUCCUGGUGUAGCGGUGAAAUGCGCAGAUAUCAGGAGGAACACCAACAGCGAAGGCAGCACUCUGGGCCGGUACUGACGCUGAGGAGCGAAAGCAUGGGGAGCGAACAGG
rnacentral:rRNA from 2 species